GCGGCAAGAAGUCCGAACAAGUUCCCAUACACAUCGUACUGAUUGUCAUUGACCAGAAACAAAAGCAGACAUUGUUAGAAUCAACAUUGUUGAUCUUUCCGAAUGAUACAUUACGAAGGUUUAAUGGAAUCUCUAGGGAUGGCAAACUCGCACCCAUUGUAAUAGUUUUCAUCAAUUAUAAAAGCCAAAAAAAGGGUAUUUGAAGAAGUGGUUUAUGUCAAUUG